rnacentral:tRNA from 1 species
AGAGGCAUGCCUCUGUGGUAGAGUGCCAGCCUAGGAAGUUUAAGGCCCUGAGUUCAAACCCCAGUACCACUG